rnacentral:rRNA from 1 species
UUAGGAAUAUUGGACAAUGGGCGCAAGCCUGAUCCAGCCAUGCCGCGUGAGCGAUGAAGGCCUUCGGGUUGUAAAGCUCUUUAGCCGACGAAUAUAAUGACUGUAGUCGGAGAAUAAGCCCCGGCUAACUUCGUGCCAGCAGCCGCGGUAAUACGAAGGGGGCGAGCGUUAUUCGGAAUCACUGGGCGUAAAGCGUGCGUAGGCUGUUUUGUAAGUCAGAAGUGAAAGCCCAGGGCUCAACCUUGGAAUU